AUAUUACAAGCGCAGCCUUGCUAGAAGCUUUAAAAUGCCUUUUGGAUUUAUAAUAGUCACGGGAAUCCUGGCGUUUGGCGCCUAUUGGACGACAAAAUAUUUAUUGAGCAUGGCCGACCACAACGCAUCCACAACUCAUCAUCCAUUAACAACUACCAUCGGCCCGAAGUUAUGAUGAAUUAUUUUAUUUUAUUCACACGCUUGUUAAGUUAAGUUGUUAGGGUUAGUAUCAAAUAAAUGAUUUAAUUAUA